rnacentral:rRNA from 2 species
GCCUACACAUGCAAGCCGAGCGGUAUUUCUUCUUCGGAAGAGAGAGUACGCGGCGUACGGGUGCGUAACACGUGUGCAACCUACCUUUAUCUGGGGGAUAGCCUUUCGAAAGGAAGAUUAAUACCCCAUAAUAUAUUGAAUGGCAUCAUUUAAUAUUGAAAACUCCGGUGGAUAGAGAUGGGCACGCGCAAGAUUAGAUAGUUGGUGAGGUAACGGCUCACCAAGUCUGUGAUCUUUAGGGGUCCUGAGAGGGAGAUCCCCCACACUGGUACUGAGACACGGACCAGACUCCUACGGGAGGCAGCAGUGAGGAAUAUUGGACAAUGGGUGAAAGCCUGAUCCAGCCAUCCCGCGUGAAGGAUGACGGUCCUAUGGAUUGUAAACUUCUUUUGUACAGGGAUAAACCUACUCUCGUGAGGGUAGCUGAAGGUACUGUACGAAUAAGCACCGGCUAACUCCGUGCCAGCAGCCGC